rnacentral:rRNA from 1 species
UACAGAGGGGGCAAGCGUUAUUCGGAAUUAUUGGGCGUAAAGGGCGCGUAGGCGGCCUGGCAAGUGGAUGGUGAAAUCCCUCGGCUUAACCGAGGAACUGCCGUCCAAACUGCUUCGCUUGAGACCGGGAGAGGUGAGUGGAAUUCCCAGUGUAGCGGUGAAAUGCGUAGAUAUUGGGAGGAACACCAGUGGCGAAGGCGGCUCACUGGACCGGUACUGACGCUGAAGCGCGAAAGCGUGGGGAGCAAACGGG